rnacentral:rRNA from 1 species
CACGUAGGGGGCGAGCGUUGUCCGGAUUUAUUGGGCGUAAAGAGCUCGUAGGCGGCUCGGUAAGUCAGGUGUGAAAACUCUAGGCUCAACCUAGAGACGCCACCUGAUACUGCUGUGGCUAGAGUCCGGUAGGGGAGCAUGGAAUUCCUGGUGUAGCGGUGAAAUGCGCAGAUAUCAGGAGGAACACCGAUGGCGAAGGCAGGUCUCUGGGCCACUACUGACGCUGAGAAGCGAAAGCAUGGGGAGCGAACAGG